rnacentral:lncRNA from 1 species
UUUAUUAACCUUAUUUAAGUUACAUGUUGCCGUCACGAAAGGUUGUUAAAAUGUGAUUCAUUUUUAUAUAAUUCAUACAUCAUAUAAACAUUCCUUUAUUUAUUUGAUAUGGGCCGGCCUGGUUUAUGGGCUUAUUGUUUGUCACACUUAUUGUUUGUCUGGGCUUAUAAGGUUGUUUAGUGUGCAGUUUUGGAAGUGCAGGGGGCUAUGUGUAACUCUAGAAGAUGCUGAUAUGAAAAGUGUGGAUCUUGUUUUUAGUUGUUGAUCCUUCUUUGUGGAUCUGUUGUUGCUGUUGAUCCUGUGGAUCUCUGUAUUUGGUUGUAUCGUUCUUGUUAAUCAACUGAUAAUCAUCAGUUGAUUAUUUCCUUGUAUUGUUUGUAUUAUAGAUCUUACAAUUUGUAAGAUCUUGGGAGGUUGGGAGUUUUUUAGGGUUGGUUAACUAAUAAAAGGUUUCCGUCACGUUUUGUC